CCUACGGGUGGCAGCAGUGAGGAAUAUUGGUCAAUGGGCGAGAGCCUGAACCAGCCAAGUCGCGUGAGGGAAGACGGUCCUAUGGAUUGUAAACCUCUUUUGCCGGGGAGCAAAAAGCGGUACGUGUACCGCCUCGCGAGUACCCGGAGAAAAAGCAUCGGCUAACUCCGUGCCAGCAGCCGCGGUAAUACGGAGGAUGCGAGCGUUAUCCGGAUUUAUUGGGUUUAAAGGGUGCGCAGGCGGCGAGUUAAGUCAGCGGUAAAAUUUCGGGGCUCAACCCCGACAAGCCGUUGAAACUGGCGUGCUAGAGUGGGCGAGAAGUAUGCGGAAUGCGUGGUGUAGCGGUGAAAUGCAUAGAUAUCACGCAGAACUCCGAUUGCGAAGGCAGCAUACCGGCGCCCAACUGACGCUCAGGCACGAAAGCGUGGGUAUCGAACAGGAUUAGAUACCCGAGUAGUC
rnacentral:rRNA from 1 species